GACGAACGCUGGCGGCGUGCCUAAUACAUGCAAGUAGAACGCUGAAGGAGGAGCUUGCUUCUCUGGAUGAGUUGCGAACGGGUGAGUAACGCGUAGGUAACCUGCCUGGUAGCGGGGGAUAACUAUUGGAAACGAUAGCUAAUACCGCAUAAGAGUAGAUGUUGCAUGACAUUUGCUUAAAAGGUACAAUUGCAUCACUACCAGAUGGACCUGCGUUGUAUUAGCUAGUUGGUGAGGUAACGGCUCACCAAGGCGACGAUACAUAGCCGACCUGAGAGGGUGAUCGGCCACACUGGGACUGAGACACGGCCCAGACUCCUACGGGAGGCAGCAGUAGGGAAUCUUCGGCAAUGGACGGAAGUCUGACCGAGCAACGCCGCGUGAGUGAAGAAGGUUUUCGGAUCGUAAAGCUCUGUUGUAAGAGAAGAACGAGUGUGAGAGUGGAAAGUGCACACUGUGACGGUAUCUUACCAGAAAGGGACGGCUAACUACGU
rnacentral:rRNA from 1 species